CUGCCAAAAUUCCCGUGGUUCUCACAAGAGCUCCUACCUCCUCUGUUCUUUUAAUCUCCUGCUGCGGGUGGCAGACAUGGGAGAGACAGGCAAGCUGCAAAGGGAAGUCGACGAAAUAAAAUUAAAGCCCUACAAUCGUGUUCGUGUCAAUGUAGAUGGGGUGCCCCCCUCGGUUUGCUCACAGAGGUGGGUGUGAGAUCCUACAGGACGGUCUGGAAGACAUCCCAUGGAAGGCACUUUAUUUUGCCCAGAAGCUGGAGGAAAAGCAGAAGGGCGCUGAACACUGACUAAGAGGAGAGAGCGCACAUUACAUGGAGACCAUGGUCCCCAUACCAGAAACAUGAGAGUAGAGAGAAGCAAAGCCAGCAUCGUGGAGCCAGUCCCUUUAUCCAGGAUCUUGGAGGGAUACAGUCUUCUGUAGAAAUUAAAUAAAGACUGAAUUCUUCAAUGGGUAUUUUGAGAAGAGAGCCACUGUAAGCUUAUACACUGUGAAUUGCAAAAUGUUACUGCCUCUGGGUGGACAGGUUUUAAAAAGACUUUUUUUUUUCCUCCUGGCAUGGCUGACAGAGGGAAGGCUGGGUUUCAAUCCCAUCUUUCCCUUCCCUUGCCCAGUGCUUCUUUAUGUGCACAACCUGCACAACUAUAUGUGGUUUGCAAACACGCAUAAGCAAAGACUAACAGCUUCUGAAACAAACUCUGAAUAAAAGAGGGAGCAUAUUAAGGCAGAUGGCAGAGGAGGUGAGCAGCAUGGGCAGAUAGAAGCAUCACAGAGACUACAAGAAGAAUGUGCCAGACCGGCUCAUAGUGGCCACACUGAUUAAGAAUUACCAUCAGCUCUUUAGGAUUUGGAAACUUGGAAACACAUUGUGUGUUCUUCCUGGUUUGUUAUAGAGUAUGUGUAUGUACUUCUUUCUCUUAAAAAUAUUUAUUUUUAAAGAAUUGACUUAUAAAAUUAUAUGUAUUUGUCAUGUAUAACACAAUAUUUUGAAGUACAGUCCUGUGUCAUAAGGAUAUGUUCUGAGAAAUCCAUCAAUUUUGUCAUUGUAUAAACAUGAUAGAGUGUAUUUACACAAACCUAGGUGGUAUAAACUACUACACACCUAGGCUACAUAAUGUAGCCUAUUGCUCCUAGGCUAUAAACCUGUAUAACAUGCUACUGUACUAAAUACUAUAGACAAUAGUCACAUACUGGUGAGUAUUUGCGUAUCAAAACAUAUCUAAAUAUAGAAAAGAUGCAGUAAAAAUAUGGUAUUACAAUCUUAUGAGACCACUAUAGUAUAUGAGGUCCAUCAUUGAUUAAAACAUAGUUAUAUGGUGCAUGACUGUAUAUAUGCAUUGUGGAAUGGUUAAAUCUAGCUAACUAACAAAUGUGUUAUAUCACAUAGUUAUUAUUUUUGAGGUGAGAAUACAAUAUUCACUCUCUUAGCAUUUUUUAAGAAUACAGUAUAUUAACUAUAGUCACCAUGCUGAAUGGUAGAUCUCUGGAACUAAUUUCUCCUAUCUAAGUGUGAUUAUGUACCCUUUGACCAACAUCUUUCUAACCCCACCCCACAAACACCCCAUAAUAAAGCCUCUUGUAACCACCAUUUUACUCCUUUUUCUAUGAGAAUGGCCUUCUUUGUCUCUCCUUUUGUCUGUCCUUACAGUUUUUUACUUAAUGUCUAUUUUGCCUGAUAUUAAUACAAGUAUACUUCCUCCUGCUCUCUUUUAGUUUCUACUUGCAUAGAAUAUCUUUUUCUGUUCCUUCAUUUUCAGUCUGUGUGUCCUUAUAGGUAAAGUGAGUCUCCUGUAGGCAGCAGAUAGUUGGGUUGGCUCUUUUUUUUUUUAAUCCAUCCCAGCCACUUUAUGUAUUUUGAUCAGAGACCUUUAUCCUUUUACAACCAAGGUAAUUAUUAGUAGAUAAGGACUUACUACUGACAUUUUGUUUAUUGCUUUCUCAUUGUUUGAUAGAUUGUUGUGUGUGGUUUUUAUUACAGGGUGUAUCUUGAGUCAUCUCAAUUAAUCUUGAUGCUCUUGGUUCCUACAUCGCUGUUAGCAUUGAGGAUGUUAGAGUGCAGAGUAUCAAAACCAGCAUUCAUCAGAAAGAAAGGAUGUUUACACAAACAUUAAGGCAUGGAAGAGAGUCAGUGGGGUGGGGAUGGGAAAGGAAAGAAUAUCCUAGGCUGAGAAAAUCACUGAAGCAAGAAAAUGGUGUAUAUGAGCAUGGGUUCUUUUAGAAACUAUCUUAACACCUGAUCAAAUGUGGGUGUUUCUGAGAAUGCUGAGCUGAUUAUGGCACAUUCUCUGUCCUGGAGAAGCUGGAAGCAUUUUUACAUCUACCCUAUUUGAUCCUCAUACAAAUUUUAUAAAUUAGAUAAGAAACAUCUUAAUAACUAAAAGUCACUGAAGAGGGAACCUUAAAAAAAGUACUUUAAAAAAGUACACAAGACUUAAGUUUACACAACUAACUCUAGGAAUGCUGGGACUGGAACCCAGCUGCCUGGCAAGUACCAUGGUGUUUUCAACCGGAUCAGAGAGGGGUGAGCUUUUUCCUGCUUCUUCCCCAGAGCAGUAAAUUAAAAAAAAAAAAAAGCGUUAUUGCUGUUAUUUUAUUAUGAUGAUUAUUACUAUUAUCAGAUAGUGAGGGGUGAAGGAAGAGAGUACAGCCAGAUUUCUUCAUUUCUCUCUACUAGUGGUAAUGUGUGUGGGGGCAUAAUAAACUCAAUUAAAGGAGUUCUGAGUAUUUGCAGAGCAAGUUUGUUCAUCUGUCUCAACUGCUUUAAAGAUUUUUUAUUUUAAUAAGAUAAAUAGUUAACUCAUCCUGCUAAAUGAAUUUUCUGCUAAUAACCAUAUACCUCUCCCACAACACUAAUCACAAAGUAUAUUUCUAAAGUGAUUCCAGCCCUGUUUGGGGAAUCAGUAUUAUUUACUCUUUUUCCUCUAGUCCCUAGCACAAUGUCUGGGCUAGAGGAUUCAUUUGAUCACUCAGGAAAUAUUCAUUGAGAACCUACUAUGUGGCAGUCACUAUUUUAGGUACUUAGGACAUAGCAGUGAAGAAAGUAGAUAUGAUUCUUUCUCUAAUGCAGCUUAUAUUUUGAUGGAAUAUUUUAGUAUUUCUAUAAAUAAAUAAAGAUAUGUGUUACAAAGAAAAUUAAAGAGAUGUGAUAAUGAUGAAAUGGGAUAAUUUGCUUGGGUGCCCAGGAAGGUUACUUUGAGGAAGUGACAUUGGAACUGAGACUCAAAUGUCAAGUUUUAAAUGUAGGAAAAAGCUUUGCAUGCCUGAAAAAUGGAAAGAUGAAUAUUAUGGCUUGAGGCUGAAGGGGCAAAGGAAGUGGUGUGGAGGUGAGUGGAAAGAUUCCAAGGUGGUCUUUUCACAGAGGAGGGUGAGGGAGCUAGGUAAUGUCAAAAGCUGACCCAUGUUGCUAGGCUGUCAAAAGUACCAGGCUACAAAGAUUCUCCAAAACUUAAUUAAAUUUAAAAAUAUUUGUGCUCCAAAGGACACCAUCAAGAAAGUAAAAAAAUAACCCACCAAAUGGGAGAAAAUAUUGGCAAAUCAUGUAUCUGAUAAGAGGCUUGUAUCCAGAAAUAUAAAGAACUCUUACAAUUCAAUGGAUAAAUAAACCAAUUUAAAAAAUGAGCAAAAGACUUGAAUAAAUGUUUCUUUAAAGAAGAGAUAUAAAUGGCCAAUUAACAAAUGUAAAGAUCCUCUUCAUCUUUAGUUAUCAGAAAAAUGCAAAUCAAAUCAUGAAAUACUCUCUCAAACCCACUAGAUGGCUAGAAUUUAAAAAGUCAGUAACAAGUUGUUGGCAAGGAUAUAUGGAAAACAAUCCUCAUACCCUUCUGGGAAUGUAAAUGGGAAUGUUAAAUGGUGCAGCUGCUUUAAAUGUCAAAUGGUCCAGCAAUUCUAUUUCUACAUAUAUAUACCCAAGAGAAAUGAAAGCAUAUGCCUCAACAAAAACUUGUACACAAAUGGCAUUAUUCAUAAUAGCCAAAGAUGGGAAUAACUCAAAUGACCAUCGACUGAUAAAUGAACAAACAAAAUGUGGCAUAUCCAUACAGUGGAACUGGCCAUAAAAGGAAUAAAAUGCUAAUACAUGCUAUAACAUGGAUGGACCUUGAAAACAUGAUGGUAAGUGAAAGAAGCCAGUCACAAAGGGCCACAUAUAUCAUUCCAUUCACAUCAAGUUUCCAGAACAGAGAAUUCUAUACAGUCAGAAAGUAAAUUAGUAGUUGCUUGGUGGUGGGGGAUGGGAAGACAGGGUAGUAGUUAAAGGGUACAGGAUUUCUUUUUGAGGUGAUGAACAUGUUCUAAAAUUUGCUGUGGAGAUGGUUGCAUAAAUCUGUAAACAUAUUAAAAGUCAUUAAAUUGUACACUUGAAAUGGGUGAACUGUAUGGUGUGUGAAAUAUAUCUUAAUAAAGCUAUUUUAAAAAAACACUAAAAAAGCUCCCAAAGCCUAAGGUACACUUUAUACUACUAAGAGAUUCAGGCUCUUCAGAUAAAAUUUACUACUUCCAGAUUAGAAUACUUCUGUGCCCAAGGGAGAAUCAUCAAUGAGGCUAUUCUUAGAACACAAAGCUUUCCUUCCUAAAAUACUGGAAAGGAGCAACACCUUGAACACCACAGGAAACCCAUAAAUAUCUAAUUUGCA
rnacentral:lncRNA from 10 species